rnacentral:rRNA from 1 species
GGGGGGGGGGGGGGGGGGGGGGGGGGGGGGGAGGGGGGGGGGUGGAGGGGGGGCGUGCGGGUGGGGGGGAGGGGCGAGCGGGGGAGUAGCGCGUAGGUAACCUGCCUGGGAGCGGGGGGUAACGAGUGGAAACGAUAGCUAAUACCGCAGAAUAGCAGUUGUUGCAUGACAACUGUGUGACAGGUGCAAUUGCACCACUACCAGGUGGACCUGCGGUUUAUUCGAUAGUUGGUGGGGUAACGGCUCACCAAGGCGACGAUACAUAGCCGACCUAAGAGGGGGAUCGGCGACACUGUGACUGAGACACGGCCCAGACUCCUACGGGAGGCCGCAGUAGGGAAUCUUCGGCAAUGGACGGAAGUCUUACCGAGCAGAGCCGCGUGCGUGAAUGAGGUCUGCGGAUCGUAAAGAUCUGUUGUAAGAGAAGAACGAGUGUGAGAGUGGAAAGUUCACACUGUGACGGUAUCUUACCAGAAAGGGACGGCUAACUACGUG